AACGAACGCUGGCGGCAGGCUUAACACAUGCAAGUCGAGCGAGACCUUCGGGUCUAGCGGCGGACGGGUGAGUAACGCGUGGGAACGUGCCCUUCUCUACGGAAUAGCCCCGGGAAACUGGGAGUAAUACCGUAUACGCCCUUUGGGGGAAAGAUUUAUCGGAGAAGGAUCGGCCCGCGUUGGAUUAGGUAGUUGGUGGGGUGAUGGCCCACCAAGCCGACGAUCCAUAGCUGGUUUGAGAGGAUGAUCAGCCACACUGGGACUGAGACACGGCCCAGACUCCUACGGGAGGCAGCAGUGGGGAAUCUUAGACAAUGGGGGCAACCCUGAUCUAGCCAUGCCGCGUGAGUGAUGAAGGCCUUAGGGUUGUAAAGCUCUUUCAGCUGGGAAGAUAAUGACGGUACCAGCAGAAGAAGCCCCGGCUAACUCCGUGCCAGCAGCCGCCGUAACAC
rnacentral:rRNA from 1 species